CAUCUUCUGAAGAUAUUUGAAUAUGAUAGCCAAGAAGACUGAGCAGUCUUUGAAGAAACAGAGGACCAUGCAGCUGAAGAGAUGCAAUAGGUUUUCAGAGAACUGAAUCCUUGCACAUCCUUCAGCUGAAUAAGCCCACCCUUCUGAAGAGUUUGGUCCAGGCUUUGUACAUCAAACAACCUUCAGUGAAGUUAUUCUUGCCUCAUACAAGUGGUAAGAGGAAAGCAAGUUAUUCAUAUUUAAUGCUAUUUUGUGCCAGAUGUUUUGCUGGUAGAAAUCCAUAGCUCCACAGGCACCAAUUUCUUCAGGAUCUGGAAUGUCUGGCCCAAUUUCUUUCUCACUGUGGAUGGUCUGUGAAAGAAACCACUUUAUUUUGCAAUAUUGAAUAUUCUUGCCGGGAAGUUAUAAACAAAAACAAAAUAAUGAGAGACAGGGUCUCUAAUAAGCUUCCUGUCGCAUGAGGCUCUGGUUCUAUUGAAGCAUAUGUGUUUGCUGACUUGCUUCCAAAAGGUUUGUUGAGUGGUGGUGAUUAGUUUCUGUUGUACUGAUAUUAUCUCUCUGUAGUCUCAUUCAAUACAAGUAGUUCUGUAAACAGUGAAGUCUUUUUUUCCUACGGGUUUGUACCUUGGAUUGUGUUUCAGCAUGGAUUCUCUGAUGUUUAAUGGGGAUUGAGUUCAUGUUCAGCCAAUUUCUUCAAUGAGGGAUGAAUAAUCUGUCUUUUUGGCCAUCUAUUUCCACAAAAUUUGCUGGAAUUAAAUAUCUUCAACGCCCUCUAUCAAAGUUGACUGGGAUUUAUGAACAAGUUUUGGAGUUAUUUGGGGCUGUCCAAUGUAGAUAAAAGAGAGUCUCAUUUUCUUACAAAAACAGAAUGUAAAAAUGCAUUUUUAAAGUGUUUUGUCUGAUUCUGUUCUAUUUGUGACCAGUCAUAUAGGAUGUGUUUUAUUUGUAAAGCUGUAUAAAAGUAUGAUGUGGGUUUUUUUGCCCUGUUGAGUGCAUAUUAAAGCAUCUUUAGUUUAUUCUUGUUAUGGGCCAGCUGAGAUUGCUUUUUUUUUUGGUCCUUGUUGGAACAUGGGAAAAGGUUUACACAGGUGAGUGCAGAGAAAGGACACAUGGUUGCUCAUUUAGUACCAGAGAUCUCUGCUUCUGGUUUGGAAAGGAAGAAAGGAAACACAGAAUUGAAUAUAACCUUUUAGCUUGCUGAGUCCAGUUUUGUGCUUCUGCAGGGAGCUAAGUUCUCAAUCCUUCUCACAAGCAGACAGUGCUAUUCAAAAAUGUACUCUUUCCUCCUUGUUGUGUCUCCUAUCUUCCUAGUUACCUACUUUAUUUGGGAGACUGCUCUAGAAUCUCCUAAUUUUGACAGGAAGAAAACCACUAAUUUCUGUGGUCACUUUAUGUAUCUUUUUUCUUAUUCCAUGAAAAAAAAAAGACAUCUAUUCAUUUUGUUGUUGUUGUUGUUGUUUACAUCCUGUAGGUAAGACAGAUCUGGAUAUCUCUUUAUCUUUCUAACCUUCUGUCAGGUUACUUUGCUUAAUGUAAAUGAACAAUUAAUUUAAAAUAGAAAAGGUCAGUAAUUCAAGAGGUAGAAGAAGUGGAUCAGACGAGAAGGUGAGUAGAUCAGACACAAAUGUGAUGUGUUCAUUAUGCCAUCUGUUUAUGGUAAAGGAGGAGCUAUCACAUGGGAACAGAACAAGAGGUAGAGAUCAGGCCUCACUCAUAUUCCCUUGCAAAAUAGCCAGAUUUCUUCAUUUGAUUACAGCGGAUUAAGCUCUUGGUUCUGAGCUGAAUCUCUGAAUGAUCCCAAAGAGGACAGCAAUGGAAAUUUUAAACCCCAAUUCUGGAACUGUGAUUGUUCUUGCUGUGAAGCUUUUCCUUCAAAAGACAUUGUGAGCUGGAACCAGCAUCUGCAUUAUGCAGUGACCACCUUUUGGUGCUCAGCAUCCACUCUUAAACACUGGAUGAAGCCUCUCACAGAUACUGGGUGCAGAGAACUCCUUCAAAUUCUUCAUGUCCAAAUGAUUUCUGAACACUGAUCAUCCUGGUUCCCUAAGAAAACACAUUGGCAGCCAAAGAUAACUGGAGCGAAAUGUGGCUGAACUCGUUAGCUUCCUUGCCUCCUCUAAGCCUCACCUGGUCCCAGGGGUCUGCAAGGGUGUGCAUGGUGGGCAGCCCUCACCUAGGAACAUCACCUGUGCCUGGCAGAUUAAGAUUGGAAGGGAUAUUUCCUGUUUUCUGGCCCCUUUUGGGACUGGCAAAAGGAAGCCAGAGAGCCCAGAACAUGAGCAAAAGUCUUCCAAAUCUUUGUUAACUGGAAGGAUGGUGGAUAUUGGCCAGUGGUGUCUGGGUGUAAAAGCAAAUCAGAGUCUCAGGAGCCUAACAGGAAAUGCAGAUGACUGGGGGUGAAUGUCCCAACUUUCUUUUCUUCUUUUUUCUUUUUUUUUUUAAAUUUUAAUCUUAGACUUUAGCAACUGAUGUGACAGAGAACAACCACAGCUGCAUAACGUGCAUUUGAGAACAGCAGUGCACAUAUACCUCUGAUUUCCACACAAGUGUUGUUAAUGAUCUCAUUGCCAUGUGGUGCCACCUUCAUAUUUAAUUUUGGUUGUUAUUCUGGCUAUAAGAGUAUGCUGUCUACUUGUGUGGCUGCAAACUCAGACCUGUGCAGAUCUGUGUUACCUAAGAUUUAAUGCAUCCAUACCAUAUUUGCAUGCCUCUCCAAAGUUCCUGGAGAAAUUAAAGGUCCAAAGUUCAGCUUUAUGUUAAUAGAUCUGGAUAUGCCCAAUAUUUAACUUCCACGGACAAAAGAACUGCAUGAAGAGCUGGCUUGUCUUGCUGCAUUUUGAAGGUGUCAGCACUGUGCGCUGCAGAACUUCAUGCAACCUUAGGGAAAAAAAGGAAAAAAAAAAGCCAAGUGUAUGCUCAGUGGAAAACAGAUGGAUUUUUCAUUAGAUAUAACUGUUAAUGAUCUGCUUUAAAAGUAAAGAUAUGCCAUUCUGAGUAGAAGAAGGGCCUCCUCAUAGCUUUGUGAAGGUCCCAGGAUCAUUAUCGUAGCUACAGAUAGAACUGCAAGAUCCUUGUAUCAUUAGGAGUUCCAGUCAGACAUCUCUGCCAUUAUUAGACUUCCAAACACAGCAAAACACUGUGGGGGCCUUAACAAUAUUGUUCCCUAAGACAUGUCUUUAUUUAAUGAUGCAGAGUUGUUAUGGGGCUGGCAGUUGGUUACUCAGUUUCUGGAGCAUUACCAUUUAACCUAGGGUCAGAAUAAAAAUCCUUGAAUAUUUGUUGCAAGGCAGAUCUUUUGCUUCACUGAGGGACUUGUCUUCACAGUCAACCAUGGUAUGACUCCUCCAAGUGGUCCUACUGGCUCUGAGAGGUGAGCCCAGCAGUCUAGAAAGCCUGAAGACCCUUCCUAAAAAGAUGAACCCUGCGCUCUGUGCCUGUAGUUGACAUUUGGCAGCAGAGGAGCAGUCUGACAGCAUGGCAUCUGAUGUGGAAGUACAUAUGCAACAGAAGUCUGGAACUGAAUUCCUCCAUGCAGAAAAAGUUGCACCUAGUGACAUUAACUGAUGCUUGCUGAACAUUUAUGGAGACCAAACAGUGGAUGUGAGCACAGUGAGGCAGUGAGUAUCAGUGCAUUUCAGCAAUGAUGACAGCAACCAUAGGUCACCGCCGCUGGUGCAGGUUGUGAUGAACAUAGUAUUCAGGCUCUUGUUCAUCACUGGUGAAAAUGCACCAGGUAAUGGUGGUGGCUAUGUUGAAAAAUAGGGUUUUAUAGUUGAGAAUUUGCUCUCUCAAACAGUUGCUGUGCUCAUUGUAUCUGUUGUAGUUUCCACAAAAAUAAAUAGGAGGCGUUAGGUUUGGAGUGACCUACAUAUAUGUGGACCAAGACAGUUCCUCUUCACUCAGUGCAGCCUAGGCAAGCCAAAGGGUUGGACACCAUGCAGUAUACCAUUAGCACAAAGCCUCUUCCAUCACAGUGGUGAUUAAAAGAAGUGGUAAAAAAAAAUCCAGAUACUGUUGUUUUUGAAGAGGGCUGAUUUUCUGAGAAUGAAUUCUCAGCACAUUCUAAACAGGCACCUUCAAGAAGUAUCCAGUUAUUCAAGCCUUGGUCAUUCACGGGGGGAUCUUGCCCUAACUAAAAAACAUACUCAUUGCAUUCUCAAUGAAAAAAUAUAAAGCUGACUCCACAAUUGGCCUGCUUCAUACAUGUCUUAACCCCCUGAAUUGCUUGGAGUAGUAGCAUAUGGGAUCUUUUAUUCACAAGUGCAGUAGUGUCUGAGUGCAUGAGGAGUGCUGAUUAUAGCUGUUGUGAGUCUUAAAGUGCUUUUCUGGCAUCUCAAGAGAGGCAAAUUCUUAAAAUAAGUAAAUUGAUCUUUUGAGGACUCUUUGCUGCACCAGUGAAGUAUUUUAGCAGUGAUGACUUGCAGAGAAGUGAUAGAGGAAAUACUCACAAGUGACUUCCAAAGCAAGGUGCUUCAGUUGUGAAGCUGAGUAGUUUUAAGAUGAGAUUUUAAGAGGUCCUGGAUGCCUCCUCAAGUUGCUUCCUCAAGCAUCUGCACAUCGACUCCCUUCAUAAUUUGAGCUGAGCAUACAAAAACACAGUAUGGGUAGGCACUCCUGAAUGUGCUGCUCUGUGUCACUUCCUCAUAGUCACUUGGCAGUUCAAUAAUAGAAUUAAGAACAUAGGGUUCUUUAUGUCUAUUGUGUCCAUUAGAACAAUGCUGCUGAGAACAACUGAGACAAAAGGCCUGGCCUUCAAAACAUAGAGCCUGAAAGGAAAGCUUCGGGGGGUUUUUUUGGUAAGGUCCAAAUGUGUUUCAUUCAGCUUUGCUGCUACUCCCAAAGUCUGGUUAUAAACAAGUAUGAUAUUUACCCUGGAAGCUGCACAUCUGGAUUGCAGUGUCUGUAACUGCUUUCAUUGUCACAGCAGUUUUGAGCCUCAUAAUAUUCUGUGUGUGUAGAGAACAGCUUGUAAGAGGUAACCUGAGCCAGCUCUGUUUUAUGAUUGAAGAGCUUAAAUAUCUUGAACCACCAGUCCGCAAGAUAGCCACAGCCUUCAACCUUCUAUAUAUGAUUCCACAGUCCUGACAUUUUGCUUUUAAUGUCCUGUAGAAUUCUUCUAACUGCUCCCUAUCAAAUUUCCAUGCUGACUUUUUGUCCAAAGCAAUAACGUACCAGCUGCUUUCAGGGGAGAUGAGCAUGAACUUCCGAAGAGUCCACCUCUAGGUGUAAACCCUUUUGUACUGCUAGACAGCAGUAGAACCUUGACAUUCAUUUCUUUACAUUGCAAAUAUAGGGAUGUAAGCUGCCAGCAUUAUCAGUACUUAGUGCCAAGUGACAAAAUAUUGUGUCUGAAUAACACCUUUGUAAGUGACAGCUUGUUUCCUUACUGCAAGGUUAUCAUAUCCUUGGUGUCUUUGGAUACUGCACUGUGGAGGCUGUACAUAUCUGAAUGAAUUAAUGAUUAAAACGUUCUGUUAAUUAAUGGCUUAGGAAAAAUCCCAGUCCCGUGUCUUGAUUCCACCUGUGGUUGCCCAGACCACGUCAAUGCAAGUGAUGCUGGAAAAGCUGUAGGAACAAAUAGCCAUUUUGUUCCAAUGUGGACAAAGAACCACUCGAAGGGACGUAAAACUCAGAGGCUUCCAUUUGUGCAUGAUUCAUACAAAGUAAGGGUUUGAAUGUGCAUAGCUGCUGGCAGAAUGGAAAGAGGACACAAACUGUUCAGUCUAAGGGACUGAGGUCAGCUAGAGAAGGCUACAUUUGCUUGAAAGAACUGACAGACUACAUCGCUUCUCUCUUUUCUCUUUCACUUCUUGGAAAGGUCAUCCUAAAAGCUUUUCCAGACCUAAAGCCAUGGUAGCAAGGUGUCAGUGUGGAAGUGUUAAGAUGCAGCACUUCUGUUGUAAAUUUGCUUUUACCUUCUGCUCUUAAGUUACUCCUACUCCUCACUAAAGCUGUGGCUUGACAGCCAACUGACUUCUGCAUAGCUUGUGGCUGAUUACCUCAUGUUCCUGGUUUCCUUUGUGCUUGCCUGGGUAGUUCUUUGCUCUCACAAGCAGAAAUAUGGACAGAGCCAUAGAAGAGUCAUUUAUUAACCACAUAGCUUCAGGCAAACAAAUAAGGCUGCACACCCCAGUCUGGAUAAUACUGUGCUGUGGAACUGUUUGAAGCUUUGCAGAUUUACUGAUAGCAGUGGAAGGCCAGGCUGCAAAGCACAGAGGUAGAGAUGCAACGUGUGUUUGUCCAGCAUCUGGCAUGCCCUUACCCUUCUAACUGAGCAUCUCUGUGGACCUCUUUCAUUAAUCAUUAACACAUGAUACUUCGAAUAAGUUCUUUCUCAGAAGCUACUGCAAUACUGAGGAUUAAUUUUAGCCUGCCUAUUUACUCUGUUCUUCAGCAACAGCAGAAAUUAAUUUCUUGGACAGGUUAUGUGAAUGAUUAUUCAUGUUAUUAAAUAGUAUGGUCUUUCUGGAUUAUAUAAAGUCAAAUCUAGGGAUCUGCCAUUUGUUCUGCCUAAAAUUAUUUUUUCUUCUCUAAUGCAGAAUGUAUAGGUAUGUGUAAUUCACUUUUUUUUUUUUUUUUUUUUUUUGAGCUUAAAAUAAGGUCAUA